CAGUGAAACUGCGAAUGGCUCAUUAAAUCAGUUAUCGUUUAUUUGAUAGUACCCUUACUACCUUGGAUAACCCGUGGUAAUUUCUAGAAGCUAAUACAUGCUAAAAACCCCCAACUUCGGGAGGGGGUGUAUUUAUUAGAUAAAAAACCAAUGCCCUUUCGGGGCUCUUUUGGUGAUUCAUGAUAACUUAACGGAUCGCAUGGCCUUGCGCCGGCGACGGUUCAUUCAAAUUUCUGCCCUAUCAACUUUCGAUGGUAAGGUAUUGGCUUACCAUGGUUUCAACGGGUAACGGGGAAUUAGGGUUCGAUUCCGGAGAGGGAGCCUGAGAAACGGCUACCACAUCCAAGGAAGGCAGCAGGCGCGCAAAUUACCCAAUCCCGACACGGGGAGGUAGUGACAAUAAAUACUGAUACAGGGCUCUUUUGGGUCUUGUAAUCGGAAUGAGUACAAUUUAAACCCCUUAACGAGGAACAAUUGGAGGGCAAGUCUGGUGCCAGCAGCCGCGGUAAUUCCAGCUCCAAUAGCGUAUAUUAAAGUUGUUGCAGUUAAAAAGCUCGUAGUUGAACCUUGGGCCUGGCUGGCCGGUCCGCCUCACCGCGUGUACUGGUCCGGCCGGGCCUUUCCUUCUGGAGAACCCCAUGCCCUUCACUGGGCGUGGUGGGGACCAGGACUUUUACUUUGAAAAAAUUAGAGUGUUCAAAGCAGGCCUUUGCUCGAAUACGUUAGCAUGGAAUAAUAGAAUAGGACGUGCGGUCCUAUUUUGUUGGUUUCUAGGACCGCCGUAAUGAUUAAUAGGGACAGUCGGGGGCAUCAGUAUUCAAUUGUCAGAGGUGAAAUUCUUGGAUUUAUUGAAGACUAACUACUGCGAAAGCAUUUGCCAAGGAUGUUUUCAUUAAUCAGUGAACGAAAGUUAGGGGAUCGAAGACGAUCAGAUACCGUCGUAGUCUUAACCGUAAACUAUGCCGACUAGGGAUCGGGCGAAG
rnacentral:rRNA from 1 species